UAAUUUUUUUAUUGGAUCUCCAAAAAAAAAAUGGUAUCAACAGUCCCUGUUUUUGACACAGGCUUCUGUUAUUCGACAUAAUAAUUUAUCUAACUUGCUUCUACUGGCACAGAAAGCCAGUAAAACAUUUUAUUAAUGUCAAAAGGUAUUCCAAAUAGGUUAAAUUCAAGAAAUUUGCACAGCAGGUGCUUCAAAAACAUUGCAAAUGGCUGCACCUUCGGUAUUUGAAACUAAUUAUGGACCCGGACUUGGAAAAAUUAUGAUAAAUUUCCAGAUUUCGCUACAAUGUCAAAAUAAAAAAUGUAAAAAAAAAAAAAGAAUACUGACCUACCGACCCUAUUUUUUAAAAUGAUGUUACCGGAAACACACAUUUUUUUUUUAGGCCUAAACAAAGUUACAAAAAAUUUUAAUGUUUCAGAAACCAAGGAAAAUAUAGGACUAAUGUAUGGAAUCCUGCCUCAAUGUACAAAAGUUCUUUUUCAGUUUUAAAUGAGUCAAAGAAAAUUUAAAGUGUUGUCUGGAGUCAAGAGUAUUUUUUUUUAACAAUGGUAAUCAC
rnacentral:lncRNA from 1 species